CCCUUAGAUGUUCUGGGCCGCACGCGAGUUACAAUGACAUGGACAACAAGUAUUAAAGGUCCUUGGCUGAGAAGUCUGGGUAACCUUAUAAAGCAUCAUGAUUGCUUUGGUGGUAUCCUCUUCUGAGGAAAUCACCUAUUGCUAAUUAGGGAUUGACCUUUGCAAUUGUAGGUCAUGAACCAGGAAUACCUAGUAGGCUUGCGUCAUCAACGCAAACCGAUUACGUCCCUGCCCUUUGUACACACCGCCCGUCGCUCCUACCGAUGAAUGGUCCGAUGAAGUACAUGGAGCUGUGCAAGUAAAACUAGCUUGCUAGUUCCUUUGAAUGCAGCAAAGUGGGCUGAAUCUUGUCAUUUAGAGGAAGGAGAAGUCGUAACA
rnacentral:rRNA from 1 species